rnacentral:rRNA from 1 species
CCUGGGUGACGAGCGGCGGACGGGUGAGUAAUGUCUGGGAAACUGCCUGAUGGAGGGGGAUAACUACUGGAAACGGUAGCUAAUACCGCAUAACGUCGCAAGACCAAAGAGGGGGACCUUCGGGCCUCUUGCCACCAGAUGUGCCCAGAUGGGAUUAGCUAGUAGGUGGGGUAAUGGCUCACCUAGGCGACGAUCCCUAGCUGGUCUGAGAGGAUGACCAGCCACACUGGAACUGAGACACGGUCCAGACUCCUACGGGAGGCAGCAGUGGGGAAUAUUGCACAAUGGGCGCAAGCCUGAUGCAGCCAUGCCGCGUGUGUGAAGAAAGCCUUC